GGCAGGGACGGGAAAAUGGAGAGUUUGAGGUGGGGGCGGGGGUAGGAUAAGCAAAAACCGUCCCAACCCGUCGGGUAGCCAUGCCUAAACAGAAUAUGCAGAUAAAACACCCAAGGCUCAAAUACCCCCCAAUACUAAAAUAUAGAAAACUAUGCAUGUCUACCAGAGAUAGGUACAUGUUUACUCUAAGGACUCUGUUUACUGAUGAUCUCCUCAAUAAGAUCUGCAGCUUCCUGAACUAUUGGGAUGCUCUGUGCACUAUCUUCUUCUACAGUGAUACCAAAUUCCUCCUCAAGCCCCAUCACAAGCAGAGUUAAGGUGGCCACAAAAUUCAUCAUUGUAUCAUUCUUUAAACAUAAAGCAAAUGCUACAGGCACUAAGGCACUUUCUUUAGGCUGUAUCGUUCAAUUGCACAUGCAAUAAAUGAAAAUUUUAUGUUUCACAUUUUUUUCAAAAAAAAAAAAAACCACAUGUCAAUUAAGAAAUCAAACAGAUUUUUUCCACAAACACAUGUUCUACGCAAAUCCGUACACACGUAGUUAUUAUCAUCGUUGUAUUACAUGCACAGUAUUUGACAAAUUAGAUAUAAAAAAAUUUCUAGAAACGAACCUCUGCAGAAGUGGAUUACAGAAUUGAGAAUUCAGAGAAAACUUGCACGUAAGAACAAUAAUAAAGAAAUAGAAACAAAUAAACAGACAAUUGGAGGAAUCAUAAAGCGAUCAAUCACGAGUUUAUCACAAAAAGAAUGAGUAAAGCAAAUCGCAGAAUAACAGUCACAAUUAAAAGGUUGAAAGCGCCAGGGAGGAUCAAACGGAAAAUGAAAACGAUACCAAUCUCUUAUUCAAGUUGAGACGGAGACAACGUUCGGAGAGUAAUGCUCCGGUGAACGUGUUCGUGGCCAUGGAGGUUGGUGCAAAGAUGCAAAGAUAAUCGAAAGAGAAUUGAGAAGGUGGCGGAGAAUGCGAAGAGCGUGAAUAGUGAAGUGAAAAGGGCGUCGUUAAAGAAAGAAUAAAUAGAAACAGCUCUUUCCUUGCGCUGCUUUUGUUUGGUUCCUUCUCUCUCUCUC
rnacentral:lncRNA from 1 species